UCUGUUGUGGUGUAGCGGCUAGCAUUUGAGAUUCUCAUCUUCUUUUUUUUUUUUUUUUUCGACAAUGUGACCUCCCAGAACCCUGGUUCAAUUCCCGGCGACGGAA